rnacentral:rRNA from 1 species
AGGACGAACGCUGGCGGCGUGCUUAACACAUGCAAGUCGAGCGGAAAGGCCCUUCGGGGUACUCGAGCGGCGAACGGGUGAGUAACACGUGAGUAAUCUGCCCCUAGCUCUGGGAUAGCUCCGGGAAACCGGGAUUAAUACCGGAUACGACCACUUUAGACAUCUGUUGUGGUGGAAAGAAUUUUGGCUAGGGAUGAGCUCGCGGCCUAUCAGCUUGUUGGUGGGGUAAUGGCCUACCAAGGCGACGACGGGUAGCCGGCCUGAGAGGGCGACCGGCCACACUGGGACUGAGACACGGCCCAGACUCCUACGGGAGGCAGCAGUGGGGAAUAUUGCGCAAUGGGCGAAAGCCUGACGCAGCGACGCCGCGUGGGGGAUGAAGGCCUUCGGGUUGUAAACCCCUUUCAGCAGGGACGAAGCGAAAGUGACGGUACCUGCAGAAGAAGCGCCGGCUAACUACGCGCCAGCAGCCGC